rnacentral:rRNA from 1 species
AACGAACGCUGGCGGCAGGCUUAACACAUGCAAGUCGAACGCCCCGCAAGGGGAGUGGCAGACGGGUGAGUAACGCGUGGGAAUCUACCGUACCCUACGGAACAACAGUUGGAAACGACUGCUAAUACCGUAUACGCCCUACGGGGGAAAGAUUUAUCGGGGUAUGAUGAGCCCGCGUUGGAUUAGCUAGUUGGUGGGGUAAAGGCCUACCAAGGCGACGAUCCAUAGCUGGUCUGAGAGGAUGAUCAGCCACAUUGGGACUGAGACACGGCCCAAACUUCUACGGGAGGCAGCAGUGGGGAAUAUUGGACAAUGGGCGAAAGCCUGACGCAGCAACACCGCGUGCGGGAUGAAGGUCUUCGGACUGUAAACCGCUUUAUUAAAGGAGUAAUUUUUGAAGGUACUUUAAGAAUAAGCACCGGCUAAACUCGUGCCAGCCGCCGCGGUAA